UAUGAUUUAUUAAAAUAAAUUAAGAGCAUGAUUUUAAGACCUUGUAAUAAUUUUUCUUAAGUUCUCUAAUUUUUAUUUAUUCAAGAAUGACCCCAAUCAUUCCUCACCAUUUGAUUGGUAAGUGAGAAAAUAUCAUGAGAUAAGAUAGAUCCCCACCGUUUAUUCCUUAGCUUAUGAAGUAAGAUUGACCAAAACACAACUUAAGUCCUUACCCCCUUUGAACCUGUCUGUAUCUUCAAACAGGAAGAAAAAGUUUUCUUCUCUUCCAAGCCUAGUCGACACAUUCAUCUCCUUUUUUCCUCAUCUCUUUUCACCUUCAAGAGACUAAAACUGCCUCUACUCAUCAUCAAGCCAUGCGAUUCCAUAGCAAGAGAAGGGAAACAUUUUCCUUUCUCCAUCUCCAAACUGCACGGAUUCAACCCCUCCCUACCAAUUUUUGAGUUUUGUUCAAAAUUUAGAAUCCAAAACUUGUUUCAUCUUUUUAAGGGAUAGAAUAUUGAAAGUAAUAAAUUCUUGAUUCACUUUUUACUAUAAUUUCCAUAUGGGUUUCGAGUUUCACUAUUUAUUUCACCUAUUGAUGUUCGGUUUUGGAGGUUUAAAAUAGUGCCAUCGUUGCCCUUCAUCCACACGACCAUACUACUAAUUGGCUCUCUAUCUUACCUCUUGAAAUGAAUUAAGAGCUUAAGAAAACUCCUUGACUUGAGUUGGCAUGGAUUCCGGAUAACGAAAUAUAAAAAAUUGUGAUAUCUUGGUGCUGAUGAAAUGCUUACGGGAUCAAGAAAGUCAUGUUUGGACACGUGCCAAAUUAUUUUUCUAUGCUUGCUGAUGCUCCUCCAUUACAGGUAAGUUUAACACAUCAUUGGUUCUUAAAAUCACUUUUUUUAGGAAAACACUAAUUGUAAGUUAAAGUCAGUUUCUUACUAUGUUCAUCUCUUGUAAGUACAAUUGCAUCUCUCGUACCAGGGUGAUGAUCAAGUUGUAUAUAAAUGGUGCCAGCCAUGAUGGUAGUCAGGUUUUAGAGAUUUUGGUAUAACUGCUAAAAUGAUUUAGAAUAUGGUCAGAAACAACUUGUAAAUUUGUUUCCUAAAUUAAUGUUGUGUUUCAGUGUGCAUAAAUGAAGCAGUUGGGAUAGCAUCUGAAGCUUGUUGGUAGUUUGGAGCAUCUAAAGCAUGUGCAAUUUUGCUAGUUUUAUUGAGUUGGCUAAGUGAUACUCUAAUAUCAACUAACUAUUCUGGGAAAAAAUCUGAGAUUUAUUAAAUUGUAUUGGGUUUAGUUGUAUUAUGUUGGGAUGUGCUACUGUU